rnacentral:sRNA from 1 species
UUCAGUGCGUGCGUGAGCGAGUGAGCGAAAAGGAGAGCGCGCGGCGGACGCGCCCGGGACGCGCGGCGGCACCGGGAGGCCGGGCCGAGCGAAAUGUGAUCUCGCUGUGUUGCCCAGUACUGGCCUCAAGCGAGCCUCCUACCUCAGCCUUCCAAAGUGUUGGGAUUAUAGGCGUGAGCCACUGCACCUGGCACAGUCUUAAAACAUUUUGGAAAAAGUUGAAGCUCCCCUUUUCUACCCUCCUGAUUCUGUGCUUCUGUUGGAGUGCAUAUCACUUGAUGGCUUCUAAGACAAAUGCUAAAUUCUUGUCAGAUUACACAGUUUUGAGAGAUUACCUGAAGUUGCACUCAAAAGCAAGAUAUACUACUAACUUUGAAAUGGAAUAAGGCCCUCCCUAUCCUGAAGACAUUAGCUGAGAGUCUGGCACCUUUUAAAAGUCUGAUCAUCAAUUGUCUCUCUGGGCGGCCACCUAUGAGACUUCAUCUGUGUGCUUUAUAAAUAGCAGUCCAGGGCAACAGUACUUGAUAAAAAGGUUAUACCUUAUUGGUGUGGAUGUUGUCUAAAUUUCGGUAGCCAUGGCACAAGAAUAUAGAUGUGGAGAAAGUUUGGGACCUCAAGAGAAAGAGUGGAUGUCUACAGCUGCACAAGGAAGGGCAAACCAGCAGAGCUCCUGGGACCUGCUGAAGGAGGAAAGAUGCCCGAGAGCUGGGCAGAGGAAAAUCCCUCCUGCUUUCAACAACUAUGCAUUUCCAAAUGUCGAAAGAGAGAUUGCAGAGCUCAACAACAUGAAUAUUUUCUGGCUUACCUGCCAAUGGUUUUUUUCUCCCCCUAAAAUGAAACAAUAUCCAUUAUCUCUAGCGACAUGUCUAUUUUAACUUUGUCACUGUUAACAGUGGUUACUGG